rnacentral:rRNA from 1 species
GACAGAGGUGCCGAGCGUUAGGCGGAAUCACUGGGCUUAAAGCGUGUGUAGGCGGAUUCCUAAGUACCUUGUGAAAUCCCACGGCUCAACCGUGGAACUGCUUGGUAUACUGGGUGUCUUGAGCCAACUAGGGGCUACCGGAACAAAUGGUGGAGCGGUGAAAUGCGUAGAUAUCAUUUGGAACGCCAAUGGUGAAAACAGGUAGCUGGGGUUGUGCUGACGCUGAGACACGAAAGCCAGGGGAGCGAACGGG